GGUGUCUUCUCGUGUGAAGUUGUUGGGAUACCUGUCACCCGAGUCUUCCCAGUCGCCUUCAGGGGACCCCAGGGUUUCCGGUGACUGGAGGCGGAGAAAUUGGCACGACCUGGUUUUGAGAGCUUGAUCUGUGCCAGCCACUGACCAGGCACCGGGGACACAUGGGAACUCUCUGCCUCCCAGCAGAAACAUUGGAGGAGGGAAGACUGACCCAAUUAGACAGGUGUUGAAGGUAGGUUGUGGUGAGUGCAGCAGGAGUGACAGCCUCAGAGGCCCCCAGCACGUGUAACCCGUAACCCGAUCUGGAGAGGAUCAAGCAGGGAUCUCUGGACAAGUCCUCAUCCCUGUCUUUAAAGUUCAGAGGGAACUUCCCAAACCAACGGAACUUGGAAAGUGGGGAGAGGAUGGCAUUUCAAGACUGGGGGGUUGGGGAGGACGGAAGGGAGUGGAAAAAAGCAUUGCAGCUGUUAAAUGACAUGAAAACAGCUCCGGCUUCAGUGAACCCUCUCUAUGCUGAGUAGUCCGGUUUCACACUGUUAACGCUUGAGGACAUACAGUUUGAGACUUUGGUUCUCAGUGUUUGGUACCUGUCGAUCUAGUCUUGUCUCAGGAGAGCAGGAAGCAGAUCUUCCCGCUCUCUCACACUCAGCACUGUACUGAGUGGGCCCUGUGAACAGAGCCCUGUUGUAAGAAGCUGAGGUUAGGCCAAAGGCUAAGCCCCCCAGGACUGACUUCCUAGCACAGGCAGCCCCUCUCCGGGGGGGUAGGGGGGGGGGGGCAGAAGCUGGUUUUGGUUUUCUUGGUAGAAUCUAGACUUGUCAUCUGAUUCUUAGGGAUCCACAUCCUCAUUUGUGAACGCUACCUUAUCCAUUUGUGGUUUUUCAAUAGAGCGAUUCCCCUCCCAAACCAUGAGACGUGGAGGGACUCCCUCUCAUCCUCUCUACCCCCACCCCCCAUUCUGGGAAGAAAAUUUGUGCUUUUACCCUUUCUCUGCUGGGAUCUGUAGAAAACACAGGAUCAGGGAUGCCUGGAUUUGAAGGGCUCCCUGUGUGAUCCCAGAAGGAUGGAAUAAUUUAGCAGAUUACAUUUUUUUCAUUUAUUUUAUUAUGAAAAGAAUGCAUUUUUUUACUCCAAUAACACAGAUGUACCCAAAGGAAAUGGUGAGAGCCUCCUCUUACAAAAUGUAGCCAUUUUUAUUGAACUGUCUUCUAUCCUUAAAUAUCUCAUGUAUAGGUAAACCCCAAAUAUACAAAAUGUGUGAUUAAAGAAUGUAUAUUCAUA